GGGGCUGAUAUGAUACAUAUGGAUGUAUCAAAUGACUAAGCCUCCUUGACACUACACUAACUUUGGGGUUCAUAAUUUAAACAAUUUCCUUUUAUUCCACCCUUAUUUCUCGCUUUUAUUCUUUUAUGCACAUUUAGAUUGAUUGUGGUUCCUUUUAUUUAUUAUUUUUCUUUUUUCUUUUUAUUUUCACGUUUUUCUUUUCUUUUUCUACCACACCCAGUCCUACUUUUCUUUCUCUUAUUUUACCCUUCUUCAUACCCACUUCACAUUAUGCACC
rnacentral:lncRNA from 1 species